AAACGCGGAUGCGAAACGUUUCA
rnacentral:snRNA from 1 species